rnacentral:rRNA from 1 species
AUUGAACGCUGGCGGAAUGCUUUACACAUGCAAGUCGAACGGCAGCACGGACUUCGGUCUGGUGGCGAGUGGCGAACGGGUGAGUAAUGUAUCGGAACGUGCCCAGUCGUGGGGGAUAACGUAGUGAAAAUUACGCUAAUACCGCAUACGAUCUAUGGAUGAAAGCGGGGGAUCGCAAGACCUCGCGCGAUUGGAGCGGCCGAUAUCAGAUUAGGUAGUUGGUGGGGUAAAGGCCCACCAAGCCAACGAUCUGUAGCUGGUCUGAGAGGACGACCAGCCACACUGGAACUGAGACACGGUACAAACUCCUACGGGAGGCAGCAGUGGGGAAUUUUGGACAAUGGGCGAAAGCCUGAUCCAGCCAUUCCGCGUGCAGGAUUAAGGCCCUCGGGUUGUAAACUGCUUUUGUACAGAACGAAAAGGUUUCUACUAAUACUAGGAGCUCAUGACGGUACUGUAAGAAUAAGCACCGGCUAACUACGUGCCAGCCGCCGCCGUAA